CCUCCUGACCUCAUCACAUCUGGGAUAAAGUCAGCUAUGACCUGGAGUGUGGCCAGAAUGUUAGAACAGACAGCCUUUGACAGCUGAGAUAUGCAACUGAGCAACAAGUCUCAGGGUGACACAGUCUGGGGUGGGCUCUCUUCACCCGGCUCUGGGCUCCUGAGUUCUGCAGCGUGCGUGAGGAGCCCCACGGUGCUUGUUUCCUGGAUGGGCCACGUCCUGCUGCCUGACACGUCCUGUCCUGUCCUGUCCCAUCCCGUGCUAUCGUGAUGGAGUCUGGAGUCAAGAUGGAAGAGAGACAAGCAGGGGCGUGGCUGUGACCCAGUCCCACCGGCACCUCAUCUUCCUGAGAGGCAGCUUUGCAGUGGGAAGAGGCCCAGGCUAGGGGCCAGGAGACCUGGAGUCUUUCUAGUCCUGACUCUGGGUGACCCAUGGCAAGAUCUUUCUCCUUUCCCAACUUCAGUUUCUCCAUCUGGAUUUGGAGUCAGAAGACUUGGGUUAGCCAUAGUAGCUGUCACUUAAUCCCUCUGGGUCUCAGUUUCCUUAUUUGUAAAUUGAAUGGGUUGGCCUAGUUGAUUUCUAGGGUUCAUUCUGGUUCUAGAACCUAUGAACUAGAUGAAAAGAUUUUGAACAGAGGUCUGGGAACUUGGGGUUUUUAAAAAAUUUUUAUUAAUUUAUUUUGAUUUAUCAACAAUCACUUCCAUAUGCUUUUGAGUUUAAAAUUUUUCUCCCCCUUCCUCCCUACUACCCUCCCCAAGACGGUGCACAAUCUGAUAUAGGCUAUACAUUUACAUUGGGAACUUGGUUUGUAAAAAUAUUUCAAUAACUGUAUUUCAAUAUAAUUAGUUUCCUUGGUAAUCCUAUGUAUGUUAUGCUUUUAAAAGUCUCAUUCUGGGGGCAGCUAGGUUGCACAGUGGAUAGAGCACUGGCCCUGAAGCCAGGAGGACCUGAGUUCAAAUCUGGCCUCAGACCAAACACUUGACACUUACUAGCUAUGUGACCCUGGGCAAGUCACUUAAUCCCAAUUGCCUUAAAAUAAAAAGUCUUAUUCUGAGAAUGGGUCCA
rnacentral:lncRNA from 1 species